GAAUUUUGGACAAUGGGCGAAAGCCUGCUCCCCCAAUGCCGCGUGCAGGAUGAAGGCCUUCGGGUUGUUAACUGCCUUUGUAUGCAACGAACACCUUUGGGUUCAUACCCCGGAGUCCUCACGGCCCCGUAACAAUACGCACCGGCUAACUACGUCACAGCCGCCGCGGUAAUACGCAGGGUGCAAGCGUUCAUCGGAAUUACUGGGCGUAAAACGUGCGCAGGCGGUGUUGUAAGACAGAGGUGAAAUCCCCGGGCUCAACCUGGGAACUGCCUUUGUGACUGGAAGGCUAGAGUACGGCAGAGGGGGGUGGAAUUCCGCGUGUAGCAGUGAAAUGCGUAGAUAUGCGGAGGAACACCGAUGGCGAAGGCAACCCCCUGGGCCUGUACUGACGCUCAUGCACGAAAGCGUGGGGAGCAAACA
rnacentral:rRNA from 1 species